rnacentral:rRNA from 1 species
UUGGGCGUAAAGAGCUCGUAGGCGGUUUGUCGCGUCUGCUGUGAAAUCCCGAGGCUCAACCUCGGGCCUGCAGUGGGUACGGGCAGACUAGAGUGCGGUAGGGGAGAUUGGAAUUCCUGGUGUAGCGGUGGAAUGCGCAGAUAUCAGGAGGAACACCGAUGGCGAAGGCAGAUCUCUGGGCCGUAACUGACGCUGAGGAGCGAAAGGGUGGGGAGCAAACAGGCUUAGAUACCCUGGUAGUCCACCCCGUAAACGUUGGGAACUAGUUGUGGGGUCCUUUCCACGGAUUCCGUGACGCAGCUAACGCAUUAAGUUCCCCGCCUGGGGAGUACGGCCGCAAGGCUAAAACUCAAAGGAAUUGACGGGGACCCGCACAAGCGGCGGAGCAUGCGGAUUAAUUCGAUGCAACGCGAAGAACCUUACCAAGGCUUGACAUACACGAGAACGGGCCAGAAAUGGUCAACUCUUUGGACACUCGUGAACAGGUGGUGCAUGGUUGUCGUCAGCUCGUGUCGUGAGAUGUUGGGUUAAGUCCCGCAACGAGCGCAACCCUCGUUCUAUGUUGCCAGCACGUAAUGGUGGGAACUCAUGGGAUACUGCCGGGGUCAACUCGGAGGAAGGUGGGGAUGACGUC